UCCUCGAUAGCUCAAUGAUAGGAGCUCGGCUGUAACCGGGGUGUUGUAGGUUCGAGCCCUACUCGGGGAG
rnacentral:tRNA from 1 species